GUGUCAGCAGCCGCGGUAAUACGUAGGUGGCAAGCGUUGUCCGGAUUUAUUGGGCGUAAAGGGAGCGCAGGCGGUCUUUUAAGUCUGAAUGUGAAAGCCCUCAGCUUAACUGAGGAAGAGCAUCGGAAACUGAAAGACUUGAGUGCAGAAGAGGAGAGUGGAACUCCAUGUGUAGCGGUGAAAUGCGUAGAUAUAUGGAAGAACACCAGUGGCGAAGGCGGCUCUCUGGUCUGUUACUGACGCUGAGGCUCGAAAGCAUGGGUAGCGAACAGGAUUAGAUACCCUGGUAGUCCAUGCCGUAAACGAUGAGUGCUAAGUGUUGGGAGGUUUCCGCCUCUCAGUGCUGCAGCUAACGCAUUAAGCACUCCGCCUGGGGAGUACGACCGCAAGGUUGAAACUCAAAUAAAUUGACGG
rnacentral:rRNA from 1 species